GCCGAAGUGGUGGAACUGGUAGACGCGCUGGACUCAAAAUCCAGUGGGGGCAACCCCGUGUCGGUUCGAUUCCGACCUUCGGCACCA
rnacentral:tRNA from 1 species